CGGUGAAAAGUUCCGCCCGCGAAAUGAAAAAUUUAUUUAUUUUUAUUUAUAUUUAUUAGGCAAAAAAUAAACCAACGACAUGUUUUCUUCAGUUAAAGAAAUCAUGAAAUUGCGAUUUAAUUAUUUGGGAUAUCAGAUUUUAUCAAAAUAUUCGACAAGGUCUACCCAAAAAGCAAUAUGCGACCAAUCUCGGAAAAUUUCAUAUCCAACAUUUGGUCAACCAACUUACCUGACACAUCCUCAUCUCAUGAAGGAAGGAGAAGUUGUCCCAGGAAUUCACCUUCAAGAAUUCAAAAGUAGACGCAGCAAAUUGCUGGAAAGAAUCAUAAGAAAUAAUUCCGUAUUAAAAAAUCCGACUCUCACACAUGUCGUGAUAAUUCCUUCCUCAUCGACUGUCUACAUGUCCGAUAAAAUUCCCUACGUUUUCCGGCAAAACUCGGACUUUCUAUAUUUUUCUGGGUGCCAAGAACCAGACAGCAUUCUCUUGCUCACUGCCAAAGGAGAUAAUUUUUCCUCGACUAUAUUCAUGAGAAAAAAAGACGCUCAUUCUGAAUUAUGGGAUGGGCCCAGAACAGGAGUGGAAGCUGCUGCUUCCUUGUUCGGGGUCGAUCAAGCGCUUCCGGUUGGAGAAUUCGAGAGGUUUUUCAUCUCAUUUGUGAAUGAGAACAAUAAAAGUAUGAUCUGGUACGAUAGUGCCAAUAUUAUCCAGUCGGAACUGCACAGGAAGUUGAUGCAACUGAUCAAAAUAGCUGAUAAUCAAAUGUUCAAUUGUCCAAAGACAAUGUUUCACCAGAUUCGAUCGAUUAAAUCAAAGGCGGAAAUUGCUUUGAUGCAGAAAAGUUGCGAUAUUGCUUCAGAAGCAAUAGCAAAAACGAUUAGUGUCUCGAGACCAGGAAUGAGCGAACAUCAGUUGUUUGCUACUGUUGAUUAUGAAUCGAGAAUGAGGGGGGCUGAAUUUUUGGCUUAUCCACCUGUUGUUGCUGGUGGGAAAAACGCUUGUACGAUUCAUUAUAUUAAGAGUAAUCAAAUUAUCAAGGAUGGAGAUAUGGUGCUGAUGGAUGCUGGAUGUGAAUAUCAUGGAUAUACAUCCGACAUCACGAGGACGUGGCCAACAAAUGGAACAUUUUCUCCACAACAGAGAGUUUUGUACGAAAUUAUUCUCGAGGUUCAAAAGGAAAUGAUUCAGAAAAUGAAAGAGAUGCCGACUUUGGAUCAAGUCUUUCAAGAAAUGUGUUUAAUUCUGGGGAAAAAAUUACAAGAGAUCAAUUUAAUACCGAAAAAUUUCGGCGGAGAAAAAUUGGUUGCUGCGGCUUAUAAUUAUUGUCCACAUCACGUUAGUCAUUAUUUGGGAAUGGAUGUUCAUGACACGGGGAAAGUUUCAAGGGGACUUACUGUUCAGCCGGGAAUGAUUGUCACUGUUGAACCAGGUGUCUAUGUAAGUUCUAAAAAUCAGUUUGCCCCUCCGGAAUUUCACAAUCUCGGAAUUCGGAUAGAAGAUGACGUUCUAAUACAAGAUGGUGAACCCUUGGUUUUAAGUAGGAAAUGCCCAAAAGAAAUUCUGGAUAUUGAGGCCCUGGCUAAAGAAAAUCAAACUUCUUAAAAAGGGAUGUUAGAAACUAAGAAAGGAUACAAUUCCAGGUGUCAUGUGAGUUCCAAAAAUCAACUUAAGCAUUCGGAAUUUUAGAAUUUCCGAAUUUGGAGAGAAGAGGAUCUUCUCAUCCCGGUAGGAGAGUAACUCUUAUUGGUUUAAAUCGAAAAUUUUAAAAAGAAAUUGAGCAUAGUGAGGCCCUGAAAAAAGUGAAUCUUCUUCAAAAAGUAAUAUACACGUGGGGAGUUUCAUUCCGACUGAAUAAACGAUGUGAUAAUGAUAAGAAAAUUUAAUUCCACCAAGUUCUUAAAUUAUCCAUAUACGCUAUUUGUGCCCAGGAAGAGAAAGAAACAAAUAUAUCAGAACAGUAUAUACGCAGAUAACAUAAAAACAUUCACUAGUUACGCUGUUCUCAACAUCCUACGUCAAACUGUUUUUUCUACAUCUUGAUAAAAUGUGGAGCCUUUGUUAUUGUUUCUUAACCCUGGGCGUUGAUCUUAAUUAUAUUGAAAUAUCAUCAGCCAUUCCGCCAAAAACAAGGGACUUUCUGGUCAAUUUUGGAAUGAGUAACGAACAUACGGAUCAUCAAGGUAUUUCGAGCACGGCCAUAAAUUCAAAAGGAAAGUGUUUAUUAUUAAGCAGUUAUUAUUUUGACACCCUAAAACUAAUAAUAAUCUCUUGCCCUAAGAAAUAUUGUGUAAAACUUAGACGGUCAAAAAUUAAUAUCCGGGAAAAUUUUCUAGAAGACAAUACACAAGGCAAAUUUAAUCCUCUAUUUCAUGUUGCAGAUUUAAGUUCCCGGUUUGAUUGCUUGCCAAAUAGUUACCCUACUCAGUGUCUUCCACAUUAUGGAAAUUCUAAUUCUUCUGCCAUAAAUCAUUCUUGUGAAAAUUCUUUUCCGCGUACCCGACAUUAUUCUCCGGGGUUUCAAGUUGGGUCUACUUCUUCUGGCGAGCCCACUCUUCGUAAACGGUCUAGGUCUCCUCCUGCUAGUCCCUCUUCUUUGAACAUACUUAAAUAUGCUAUUCGUCGUAAACAGCUUGGAUUGAUUCGGCUUAUUCCCAAAACGAAUCCGAACCGGCAAUUCGAAAUACGAAAAUACACUUUCCCUAAUGAAAAACCACUUUCUUUUAGAGGAAGGUAUCAAUUUCUGCCCCUACCAACCGAACAACAGUUGGUGUUGUCAACGUCUAAUGGUGACAUUUUUGCAGCUUUAGAGAAAAAUAAUACACUUCUUCGUGGAAUAUAUAUGGAGGAAAGACGGGUGAAACUAAACAUGUACAUCGGCGUGAUUAACUAUAUGAAUGUAGAAGAAAUGCAGGAAUCUCCAAUAUCCACCACUUCACCAAUCUCAAAGAAUUUUAAAAUAA